AACGCACAUUGCGCCCUUUGGCAUUCCGAAGGGCAUGCCCGUUCGAGCGUCAUUUCACCAAUCAAGCCUGGCUUGGUGUUGGGCCCCGGGGGUGACCCGGACCUCAAUGUCCCCUCGGCCGGACGACCCGGAUCCCAGCGAUGGACACAAAACACGCUGGUCGAGCCGGUGGGCCGCGCCGUGAACGACACCGUUCUGCGGAACGAAAGGUUGACCUCGGAUCGGGUAGGGAUACCCGCUGAACUUAA
rnacentral:misc_RNA from 1 species